GCAGCACUUCCAUCAAGAAGAAGAUGAGGACAUGUUUGAGGCAGCACUUCCAACAAGAAGAAGGACUAGAAGUGACGUCAUACCUGAGUGGAAAAAGUUUGGACACCCCUGCCAUAUGGUCUCCACAUCAAAGGUCCAUUUCCCUACGAAGACCAUGCAUCCUGCCCAUCAACCAAUGGCCUCAGCAGCCAAGUUUGAUCACUCUAUGGAGGCUGUACACCCCUCCCAUCCCCACACCGCUGGCCCAUCACCAAAUGUCCACACCUAUGGUCCUUCACCCGGCGUACACAAUAGCUUGCUACCUGAAUCCACCUGAGAAUAAAAAGGCAGCUUUCCUGGCACCAGACAGGAGAGAUGCAGGCAACCCAUCUAUUGAGGACACUAUCUGUUAUCAACCACAGGCAGAAAAAUCAUGGACGCCAUGUGAUGGAAAAAAUGUGGGCAGAAAAAGAAGGAAUUGAAGAAGUCCUCUUGAAAAUAGAUCCGGUCCAAGUCAGAGUACUUCAAACUCUCUGCGACUUGGUUGGAGACAAAUACAGCGACGGCCCUCCUCAACAAUCGGGCCAGCAAGAGCUCUUUCCUGAGAGCGGCGUAUUCAUAUCAUUGUUCCGCCUUGCUGCCAUGAGACAUGCUGCAGAGCCCAAAUGUAUGCCUUUAUUUGGACCUCUUUUUUCUACGUGUCAAAAUGCUGUCCCUUUUUGACGCCCUGGAAACAAACCUGCAGGAACACCAAAGCGCAUCCUUAAGCGGAAAAAAGUGGAAGGAAUCCUUAGUAAGUUUUCCCAAACAGAGGGUGUUUUCAGGCCAAAAUUGGGUCACAAUAAUGAAAUAGAAGUUCAAUAUGAGAAAUGUUGAUCCCUUUUCGAUUACAGCAGACUGGAAGCAUAACUGAAUGUUACAUCAUUACAAUUUGUUAUCCACUCCAAACUAGCGUUAUGAUGAGCAAUAUAGUCUGAUGUCCAUCAACUUGAAGUGUGGUUGUGUGUAUUAAUGGUUUUGCGUAAAUGAAGGCUUUAAAGGGCAAUAAAAAAGCAUUAAAUGAGGCAUUUAAAAAAGGGAAUAUGAUUGUAGGACAUGGCGGACAGUCAAUAUGUCAAACGGUAAAGGAAAAUGAACUUAAGAAGGUUACAGUCGUUUCUUUUUUGAACUGCAUACAAGAGGUAUUGUAAGGUGGGAACACGACAAAAGCACUGCUUCAAUCAAGCAAAAUGAAACAUCAACUUUUCCAUUCUUUGGUCACUGUAGGCGUGUAGUCCUUAACUGUGACACCAUGUCAGGAUAAUGGAGAAGCUGAGCCGACACGGAGUCGUUUAUUUCAAU